UAAAAAGAACGUCCUUCCGAGCUUGCCGAGGAAUCUCGCGGGCGUCGUUGAACAAAGCCCGAACGGCCCGGGCGAGAUUCCUCGGCAAGCUCGGAAGGACGUUCUUUUUAUACCCGU
rnacentral:pre_miRNA from 1 species